rnacentral:tRNA from 1 species
AUCGGGAUAAAUAGAACUUCGGAUUCUUGUAAGGAUGAUUAUUUUCCUCCCAAUA